ACUCCUACGGGAGGCAGCAGUGGGGAAUAUUGCACAAUGGGCGUAAGCCUGAUGCAGCGACGCCGCGUGAGGGAUGACGGCCUUCGGGUUGUAAACCCCUUUCAGCACAGACGAAGCGCAAGUGACGGUAUGUGCAGAAGAAGCACCGGCCAACUACGUGCCAGCAGCCGCGGUAAUACGUAGGGUGCGAGCGUUGUCCGGAAUUACUGGGCGUAAAGAGCUCGUAGGUGGUUUGUCGCGUUGUCCGUGAAAACUCACAGCUUAACUGUGGGCGUGCGGGCGAUACGGGCAGACUGGAGUACUGCAGGGGAGACUGGAAUUCCUGGUGUAGCGGUGGAAUGCGCAGAUAUCAGGAGGAACACCGGUGGCGAAGGCGGGUCUCUGGGCAGUAACUGACGCUGAGGAGCGAAAGCGUGGGGAGCGAACAGGAUUAGAUACCCUGGUAGUCCACGCCGUAAACGGUGGGUACUAGGUGUGGGUUUCCUUCCUUGGGAUCCGUGCCGUAGCUAACGCAUUAAGUACCCCGCCUGGGGAGUACGGCCGCAAGGCUAAAACUCAAAGAAAUUGACGGGGGCCCGCACAAGCGGCGGAGCAUGUGGAUUAAUUCGAUGCAACGCGAAGAACCUUACCUGGGUUUGACAUGCACAGGACGCUGGUAGAGAUAUCAGUUCCUUGUGGCCUGUGUGCAGGUGGUGCAUGGCUGUCGUCAGCUCGUGUCGUGAGAUGUUGGGUUAAGUCCCGCAACGAGCGCAACCCUUGUCUCAUGUUGCCAGCACGUAAUGGUGGGGACUCGUGAGAGACUGCCGGGGUCAACUCGGA
rnacentral:rRNA from 1 species